GACGAACGCUGGCGGCGUGCUUAACACAUGCAAGUCGAACGGAAAGGCCCUGCUUUUGUGGGGUGCUCGAGUGGCGAACGGGUGAGUAACACGUGAGUAACCUGCCCUUGACUUUGGGAUAACUUCAGGAAACUGGGGCUAAUACCGGAUAGGAGCUCCUGCUGCAUGGUGGGGGUUGGAAAGUUUCGGCGGUUGGGGAUGGACUCGCGGCUUAUCAGCUUGUUGGUGGGGUAGUGGCUUACCAAGGCUUUGACGGGUAGCCGGCCUGAGAGGGUGACCGGCAACAUUGGGACUGAGAUACGGCCCAGACUCCUACGGGAGGCAGCAGUGGGGAAUAUUGCACAAUGGGCGGAAGCCUGAUGCAGCAACGCCGCGUGCGGGAUGACGGCCUUCGGGUUGUAAACCGCUUUCGCCUGUGACGAAGCGUGAGUGACGGUAAUGGGUAAAGGAGCACCGGCUAACUACGUG
rnacentral:rRNA from 1 species